rnacentral:lncRNA from 1 species
CAACAAUAAUACUAUUUUAUUUUUCUAUAGUCAUUUGUUCUCAGAUUUCUUGAUGAUAGUCACUCUGGCUCAAAUAGCUUGCUAUCUAAUGAAGUCUUCAUUUUCAUUUCCCUGAUGGGCAGGAAUGUUGAACACAUUUAAAUAAAUGUUUACGUUCAUCUGUAUGGAACUCUUUGCUUCCUUGGGCCAUUUGUUGAAUGAUAACUUAAUAUUCUCUUGGUCUUUAAUUUUUGGGCUUAUUUGUAAGCUCGUGUAAUAUAUAUAACAUAUAUUGCUUUUCUAUCAGUGUUAACCAUUUUUGAUGCAGCUGAUCAAUCCUAUGACAAUUUCAUAUGUACAGUUUAAGAGUCUGCCAAAUUGUCUUCCAGAAUUGCUAUUUAACUGUAUAUCCCAGCUCUUCUGCCUAUCAACCAGCAUAUUGGAUCUAUUUUACUUAUUUCUUCAUCUUAACAUAAGUAUGUUGUCAUUGUGCUCACCAUUUUUAUUUUAAUUGCCUUUCCAUAAUGACGAAUGAUGGCAGCUGAUACCAUCUGUGUUUGCUGUUCUGGAAAUUACCUGCCUUUUUCACUUUUCAACAUGAAAAUGGAAAUAAAAGGCUAUAUAAUCUUUCAGUUUCAUGAGUAUCCAGAGACAUAAUGAUUGUAAAACUCUUCAGGAAAGACUGAUAGUUGUGUGGUCAUUUCUAUUGUUCUUGGUAACUCGUCUCUUUCAUGCAGGAAUCCGAGACCAAGCACUGGCAGGGUGGCAUCAUUCCGUUUUAUCGGGAUGACCACCAUCAUACGUGUGAUCAGUGCCGGAUCCCUUUCGUUUUAAAGCCUGUACACUGUGCUUUUUAGCUGCUCAUUUACUUUGUCUCAAGAGAAGCCAUUUUUUUCUCCUGAUCACUGUAAGUUAACUUGGUCAGUCUUACCUGGCCAUUUCACCCUGGGAUCACUCCCCUCUAAGAAUUAUAGCCACCUAAAUUCUGCCUUCACUUAUGGCUUCAGCUCUACUCUUUUGAGAUUUUAGCAUGAAUGCUGUUAUUGGGCCUCAUUCUGUAACGCUGUUUUCACCACGGCUAGCCUGGAGGAGAGCCACACUGAACUUUAAUGUGGUGUGCUACUUAUUCCUGCAGCACAUUCCUCCUGGUUUGGGUAAAUAUUAUGAGCUUUAUAUCCUUAUAUGUUAUGUUCUUGCUCACCCACUUCUGUUAGUUUCAAAUACUAUUUUACCAUCUGCUGUG